GAAAAUGUGGCUUAAAGUGUUCCAACUUCUUUCCCACAGAUUUUCCACCAUUUUUUUCCUAGGUAAUUAUUUUUACUAAAAAUUAAAACUGUGCAGAUUUGGGUUCACCCACUUCCCUCCAUUAUUUUCCACCAUAUUUUUCAAAUACUUUUCACUAGAGUUUGGGUUCAAUUCUAAUUUCAUCAGUAAACCCUACAUUCUAAUUCGGUCACUAUUUGAACUACUGCUAGAAGAUUCGAGGUCACCUUGUUGGCCAUUGGGUUGGAUUUUGAUUACUUCUCCUUGCUGAUUGAGACUGUUCUUUUCAUAUUAAGGUGUCUGAUUUUUAUCACGUUUGGCGGACAAGGUGGUCCUGAAGCCGGAGCAGAGGCUGCAAUUGGGGACAAUAUUGGUGCCGGAGGAGAAGAAAUAGUUGGUGGCGGUGAAGCCGGAGCAGAAGGUUGAGUUUGUGGCAUUAGAGCCAUAGCAGGCGCUUGAGCAAAAGUGCAAGUGAAUUGGGGCAAGAAAAGAAAGGGUGAGACUAAGUUGAAGUACAUUUUUCUUUCUUUCUUUAGCUAAAUUUGAAUUAUGUUAGAUGGGAGGGAGAAGGAAAAUGUGUCCCAGUUAUAUAGUAAGUUGUGGGUUGAUUUCUUGCUCCAACAUAAUUAAUGAAAAAAGUUUGUGGGGUUAUUCUGAUGAUAGAAAUUAUUAGGUGAACAGGUGCAAUCUAAGGUGAGUUGAGAAUAACAUGUUAUUUACUGCUAUAUACAACUACUAGCUUGAUUAUGAAGGCAAAAAAGCUGGGGAGGUGAACUAAUUCCUUUGUAGAUACUAUUAUAUACAUCCGUAAAUAGAUUUGUAUGUAUAGCCACUUUAAUCAUGUUCGUCCUUUCUCCAAAAUUAUCUUUUUUUUUCUCGGAACAUGGUCAGCCAGAAAUUAUUAUAUUCACGAUUCUUCAUCCACCUAUGUAUAAAUGUUCUAGUUUUCCAUUCUCAUAUGAGUCCUGAAAGUGAAUUGGCCAUUUAGUUAUGUUAUGUGAUUUGAGGUGGGUAAAAUUGUUAGGUAAAAAUAUUUCAAAUUAUCUUUUUUGUUGUAUGCGUUUAGAGGCCUACCCUCUCUACUAAUCCAUAUUUGUCUUGCGUGGAUGAUAGAAACGCUUUCUUCCAAGAGUAAUUUUAUUUUUGAGAGCUCGAACUUGAGAUCUCUAGUUAAAGGUGUAAGAAUAUCAUUCAUCCCAUCAAAUUCGUUGGUGGUAUAUUUCAUGUUGUCUAUAUGCGAUCAUAAACUAAAUAUAGGACAGUUGUGAAUUUUGUGAGACAAGUGGCUAAUUUAGUUGUAAUGGCACUUGUUACAAUCAAGAAUAUCUUGGUACAACUGACGAUAAUGUAAUGUAUGAUAACAAGUGAUAAUCCAUAUAUUUGUUAUGUUAUCUGCUAUCUUUUUGCAGUGUUAAUGCAUGACAGUAUAUCACAACCAUUUUUAGCAGAUGAGCUUAAACUUUCAGGAGGAUUAAUAAUGAUAGUGAUGCUGAGAAAUUUCCUUUUAAUUUUCAUUUGGCACAAAAUUUUUUUAUUUGCAACUCUUGCUCUGAUGCAUCCAAUAUGUGUUAUAUGGACUUGUGUUCUAAAGCAAUUGCUUAAAAUGUGUUUAUGCACUUGUGGUUCACUAUGUUUCAUUUGCAAGAAGCAUCUUUUGGUAGACCAACCACUCGUGAAGAGAUACGUAAGAAAGACCAUAUGAAAAUUAGAGAUGAAAAGAAGUUUGGGUAGAAACACGGGCAUAAGAUACUUGCCAAUUGAAGAACUCAAAAGAAGUCGAUCGACAGAUGACCAAGGCAAUCCAAUCAUGCCAUCAGAGGAAGAAACUCUCUCCUGCUAGAUGGAUGUAGUUGGUGACAUGUGUAAGGAAAGGGCAUACCGUCUUUGUUUUGAGAAGAACUUUUACCGUCUUCAGUGUGGAUUGCAAGAUAUAGAGAGUUCUGCCACCAUGUCAGAUGAGUAGCUUGAGGAGAUGCGAUAGAAAGUUCAGGAGCAUUUUAGGAAGUACGAGAGGAAAGAAAAAGAAGGAUAGAGGAGAAGCGAUGUAGGACGACAUUUAAGUCAAACGUCAAAGAACUCAAGGCUCAAGUAAAUAUCUUAAUCAAGCUUCCUCGCUCUCCGCCCCUAGCUCUGAUGAUGAUGGUGGAGAGGAUGAGGAUGGAAUGGAGUAUUAGGUUAUGUUGUUGUUUUAGGUUUGAAUUAUGUUAGGUUGGAAUGUUUGAAAAAAAUUGUUUUAGUAAUUGUUUGUGUAAUUUUUUUAUACUUGUUUACAUAUGGUUUAAAUUGGAUGAAUAUAUAUAUAUAUAUAUAUAUAUAUAUAUAUAUAUGAAGUUUGAUUACUUAAUUUUAAUGUUUGAAUUAUUUCGGAAGA